rnacentral:rRNA from 1 species
AGAGUUUGAUCCUGGCUCAGGACGAACGCUGGCGGCGUGCCUAAUACAUGCAAGUCGAGCGGAGUACGCUGAUUGCUUGCAAUCAGCAUAUUUAGCGGCGGACGGGUGAGUAACACGUAGGCAACCUGCCUGCAAGACCGGGAUAACAUUCGGAAACGAAUGCUAAUACCGGAUACGCAGUAUCCUCGCAUGGGGAGACU